CCUCUGAAGCGUCUUAAGAAGAAAAAGAAGAAGACUUCCUCAAUUUCUCACUAGCAAAAUGGUUCCCCCAGUUGCAGUCUCGCCUGUCAUCAAGACGGCCAGGUGGUCAUUCUUGCUCAUUGGCAUGUUUUAUGGCAAACAAAGAUAUGACUAUCUGAAGCCAAGAGCAGAGAAAGAGAGGCUUGUUGAGGAGGCAGAGAAGAAGAUCCGAGAGGAGCAAGAGAAAAUUGCCAAAGCACUUGCAGAAGCCUCCGAAGACACCAUCCUGAAAUGAACUGCCUAUGGAUUGUGUUUGAAGAAUAAUGAAAUAAAAAACAUAAGUAAUUUAA